rnacentral:rRNA from 1 species
GGAUAAUCUACCCGACAGUCAGGGAUAACAUUUCGAAAGGAAUGCUAAUACCUGAUAAGCCUACGCCCUCCUCGGAGGAAGUAGGAAAAGGUGGGGACCUUCGGGCCUGCCGUUGUUGGAUGAGUCCGCGGCCCAUUAGCUAGUUGGUAGGGUAAUGGCCUACCAAGGCUACGAUGGGUAGCUGGUCUGAGAGGAUGAUCAGCCACACUGGGACUGAGACACGGCCCAG